rnacentral:lncRNA from 13 species
AUUUGACUAAUGAGGUUUUGGCAGUAGAAACUGCAAGGAUACAAAAUCUGUACCUGGAUGACAGUGAAAGAGCACAGCACGUCUGACUUACACAACAAUUACGUAUAUUCUAUUUAACUGCAUAACAAUGUUUCCAUUUGUCUUUGUUUAAAAUAAAUUUAAUAUGUUCUGUUUAUUAAUGAUGAAGGGAGGAGUUCACAUAAAGAGAAAAGUAGGGUCUGUACUCAGUCAUGCACAUGGAACAGUGUGACAUUAGCACAGAUUAGGAUCACUAAUAUAAGUUGCUUCAAUAAAGCAAAGGGAAAAUUAGAGGUGAAUUACUGUAGUAAUAUAAACUGAGAAACAAUCGCCAAGGAAAGAUACAAAUAUCAUCCAAACUUGUUGCUCUAAGAAUGUAAAACAGAUGGGUAGGAAGAAUAUCUAGGGAUAGAAGAAAUCAAUCAUUUGCAGUUGAUAUAGAUGAGAGCUUAGUAACCUUUGCCGGCCAACUGGGAAUUCACACAAAAAGCUGGGAUAGCUUAAUGAAGAAGGAAAUACAAAAAACAUUUCUAUUCCAAGUCCCAGAACGCUUACAAAGCUUCAUGCUUCAUUCUAAUGCAUGCAGGCUACUGGGCAGUCCUAGCACUCGGGCUAUUUAAAGACACACUAACUUAUUCAAACACUCGGCUACAGGUCUUUCAAUUCCCAGGACAAACAAGAGCAGCUAAAACACGCACUGUUAGCUUCCAGAAGUAUGUGUUCCCACACUCACAUAAAAGUUCUGUCUCCUAUGCUGUCUGUUCUGUCUGCAACCACCUUCUGAUAAUUUGUUCUGGAUGGGCUUCAGGAAAUGAAGGAAAUUGGUGCACUGCAUCUGUUUUUUCAAUACAUGUAAUAAUUUAUGUCCAACUUUGGUAUUGUUCAAGAUACAGUGGUCCAAAAAGAUGUAGCACACCAGAAAGAAAAGAUCAUCGGGAAGAAUAGUUUUAGCACGUGGUUCUCACAGCCAUCCCAUUCAGCAGCAUCUCAUCCUGCAGGACCGUGUACAGAGACCAGAAUCCACACCCAACCACAAGCAGAACAAGAGGAAUGCAGGAGCUUUCUGAGGCAAAUAUUGGUUUGGAAAACCUGUACAUUCAUUUUUCAUUACAUGGUUGCCAAAAAAAUACAUAAAAAUAGUACAUACAUGUUUCCAUGUACCUGCUGGAAUUAAAUAAAAAAAUUAAAUAAAA